GACGAACGCUGGCGGCGUGCCUAAUACAUGCAAGUAGAACGCUGAAGGAGGAGCUUGCUUCUCUGGAUGAAUUGCGAACGGGUGAGUAACGCGUAGGUAACCUGCCUGGUAGCGGGGGAUAACUAUUGGAAACGAUAGCUAAUACCGCAUAAGAGUAGAUGUUGCAUGACAUUUGCUUAAAAGGUGCAAUUGCAUCACUACCAGAUGGACCUGCGUUGUAUUAGCUAGUUGGUGGGGUAACGGCUCACCAAGGCGACGAUACAUAGCCGACCUGAGAGGGUGAUCGGCCACACUGGGAAUGAGACACGGCCCAGACUCCUACGGGAGGCAGCAGUAGGGAAUCUUCGGCAAUGGGCGGAAGUCUGACCGCGCAACGCCGCGUGAGUGAAGAAGGGUUUCGGGUCGUAAAGCUCUGUUGUAAGAGAAGAACGAGUGUGAGAGUGGAAAGUUCACACUGUGACGGUAUCUUAACAGAAAGGGACGGCUAACUACGUG
rnacentral:rRNA from 1 species